AGAAAACUCAGGAUUCAGAAAUACUUCUCUGCCUGCUUCUGCCUCGUUCUUUCAUCGAACAGCUGAUAAAUGACAUCAAAAUAGAUGCUGCAAUUUUUAAAAGAUAUUUUCUAAGAAGACCGACCUGUAAAUUAAACUUACCAUUCAACCAAUCAACAAACUUUUAUUGAGCACCUACUAUAUGCCAAACACUAUCACACUUUCUGGGAAUACGGCAUUGAGCAAGAGAAACUGAGGCUUAUGGAGACUAAGUAAAUCCAAAUCAUCUAACUGUAUGAACUGUGAUCUCUUUAUGCUACUAAUGAAAAGGAAGUUGGAAAGUAACAUGAUAGACCUUGAACGAAGUAAAA